rnacentral:lncRNA from 1 species
CUGUCAUGCAAACAAGUAUGAAGUUGCGGUCAAACCUUUCGUCUUGUACUGCAGAACCACAUGCUUUUGUUCCCCUUUUGUUACUUUUAAAUGUAAACCUACAUUUGACUUCAGCUUUGUAUCAUAAAUCUGUUUAAUUUAAGGGUUUCUGUAUAUGUACAAAUAUAUAUAAGCUGGCAUCUUUGUAAUAUUUAAAUGUGUAUUUCGUAUUAUGUUACUCUGCAGUCUCGGUGUCCUCAGUAGACCUUUAAAAUUUGAAAUGUUUUACAGGCUUACCUUUUGCUUUUUUGUGACAAAUUACAUCACUCACAUGAAGGUGUUCAAAAGACCUCUUCCUUCCAUAUUCCCCUUGCAAGAGAAACUUCAUCACGCUGUCAGAAUGCUGUCUGAAAAGCAAGGGAAGAAAGAGAUACUGGGUGUUUGCUAUACCUAUGCAGUGCUAUGGAAAAUGAGUUGUGGAUUCCUGUGAAACACUGACUGUCAAAUAUACUUCGUUUGCAUUACCUCAGGUGCAAAAUGAGAUGAUGAGAGUCUGCUUUUACAAUAAUUAAACAUCUAGCACUGAAGUGUGAACAUGGAAGGCUGACGAUAGUCUUCCAUGGCAGUGUUUGGAUUGCUUACAUGUCUAUUGUCUACAUAGUCAGUUUACAACUGGAAAUACAAUUUUAAAUUGUUAUUCCAGACUCACUUAUCUGCAGAAAAUGCCCCUCAGAUCUUGCAUCAGUGAACAGGAAAACGUAUUUGAUACAAGCACCCUAUUUUCCCUGUAGCUAUAUACAGUAUUUCAUGUCUUAUUAACAUAAUAUAUCCACGGUGAAGUUUAUAGGCCUUGACAGAUAGCACCUCGGGUGAGAAAAAGGAUGACAGAGAAAAUUUACUUUUACAGCGUCAGUCUUUCUGGAACUAUUCUUGGACAGCUUGACACCAAAGGCUAUAAACGUAGACUGGAAUCUGAAACUUCUUCUGCAGUGACCUUGUUUUAGAAAACACUAUUCUUAUCUCCUCAUGCUUAUUUCUCUCUUUUGGCAGACGCUCCUUGUAGUAUGUUCCUUACCAUGUGCUCCUCUGUUUUUUGAGCAAUGCCUUCGUACCCAUUGUUUGUUUACUAUCUGCUUUUAUUGAAGUCAUGCAGUCUAAAGGCCUGCUUUAUGCAAGACCAAAAAUUAUGUUUGUAAGCCAUGUGGCUUGUUGUAAGCUUAUGUCCUGUUUCUUUUGCAUUUCUUUGGCACAAAGCUUCUUCAGGAGGAGGGUUGGGCCUAUGCUGAGCACCACAUGAAAUUAUACUUUAGUGGCAGUAGUUUUGUACAUUAAAAUUUAAAAUUGGCCAUUCUUUAUAUUAGUAAAAAUGGUACUGCUGUCUAAAUAGCAGAGCAGCCAUAUUCAAGCUUAAGGCAAAGGAUUGAAAAUAUGGACACAGCCAAAAACAAUCCUUUGGAAGGAAG